UGGGCUUCUUCAAAUUUCUUCUAAGAGUGAUCAUCCCAAGAGAACCAGGCUGAAGCCAUAUCACCUUUCGCAUGCUAGCCUUGGAAGUAAAAUCAUGUCCUUCUCAUUGUACUCCGUUAAUCAGGGCAGUCGCAAAGAUCCAGCCAGACUGAAUGAGAGGGGACAGACACCAUCAUUCCAUGGCUGGUGAGUUAAGCUUACAUUGUAAGAAAAGCAUGUGGGAUGGGCAGUGUUAUUACUUGCCACCCAACUCACCCUUGAUUAGUAAUAAAGUGUCUAUAUGGGCCACGUGGAAGCAAGGGGGAGAGAAAUAAGAAUCCUAAGUUUCUCCCAGGUACUGACUGAUACUGAGAAACGUACCUAAAACCCACUGCUAGAAUCUGUCUCUGGAUCAGAGCACGCAGCCUCAGGACAGUGAGUAAUUAAGCUGUUAUUGGCCGUUGGUGUCAAUAGCCAAUACUGACUACACACUUGGAUUGUCUAUUGGUCAUAUUAGAAAGCAGACAGGACUGAAGAUCUAGACGGAUAAAUAGUUCUUUGGUGAAGGGUUUUGGGACAUAUUUCAUCAAUAGGUUCCUAUCAGGCAAAUGCUGAGGAGGCUGGAGAUGAAAACUGAACAAAUAACUGGAAGAAAAGAAUGAAGAAAGGCCUUCUUUAAGCCUUGGCUCCUUCAUGAUUUGGCCAGGACCAGUCCUUCCCAGAAGUGAGAGUCAGCUGGGCAGGAGUUUUCCUCCAUCAGUGGAGUCAUUUUAUCAAAACCCAGCCUUAGAGCGCUUCUUUACGGAGGGAGAAACUCAAACACAAGGCAGGGGAGGUGACAAGUGUGUUCUCCAUGCCUGGGGUUUCAGGUGAGGGUGGAGGUGUGGGGCCAGGCAGGUGGUUGCUAUCACCUCUUCCCCAUAAGGAAGAUAACACUAACAUGCAGGUUGAUACAGGGAGAGCAGAAUUAUGGGAUGUUACAUCUUACAGAAAUAUCAGUUAUAUUUCUUUAAUUGUCAGUGACAAAAAGAUAUUUUUUCUACAAAUAAAAAAGGCCAUAUUUGGAAUAAUAUGGAGCAUCUUACAAAAGGAAAAUUGCACCUGUACCUAAUAAGCCAUAGUAGCUCUGGGAACUGAAUCUCGGGGACCAGGAACAGUCUCGCAUGUCAUUGUAAUCUGGAUUCAUGAACUCUGACUUUCCACAGUCUUUGAGUCACUGAGCACCAGGAUCAACUUUCACAGAGGAUCCAGAUAAUCAGCCAGCUUGAGUCACACUCCUGCAGCUUGGCUAGGGUAGGGAUUCCUGACCAACAGUCCCAUAAGAUCUUAUCCAGUCAGGAGGUACUGGACCAAUCUGAAGUGCAGCCAAGACCGGGAGCCACAGACCUGGAACCUGGGUACUCAAAGAGUUGUCCACGUGCCAGCAGCACUGGCCCCUCCAGGAGCUUGUUAGAAAUGUAGAACCUCAGAGCCUACAUUAAAGAUAUUGAAUCGGAGUCUGCACGUCACAUCUGAGAAGCCAUGAGCUAAGCUGAUGCCAUUCAGCUGGGUAGCAUCGCAGUCACUGUGCAACUUUUAAACCUACAGCUGCCCAGGCCCACUGCAGACCUGCUAAAUUCGAGCUCCUUGUAGUGGGGCCAGGGCCCUGGGACUUCACACAAAACUCUGCAAGUCAUCACUGAUGAGAAAACCAAGACUCGAUGAGAGUCUCCUGAGCUCGGGGGAAGAAGCUGCAUAACCGGCACACUUCCAGAAAGGACCGAGGAAGAGAGCGUCGCUUCAGCUAGGGAUCUGAUUAGUCAUGCCUGGUAGGCUCUGCUGAGCUGGGGGCUCUUGGGUUUUGCUUGUUGAGCUGAAUUAAUAUAUUAAUGGAUUUCAUGUUUGACUCGCUCUUUCUUUCUCACUGUGCAGGAGCUAAAGGAGUGGAGCUGGGGAUGCAAAUGUUUCUGUUUAGACAGCUGAAGUGGCCAUGCGAGCCCACAGCGAGAGCUGCAGGAGCAGCUACUACAGGGAGUGGGCAGAUUUUAGGAUGUGCAGCUUUGUACUUGGUGUGGCUCGGUUGUACAUUCAGGAAUCUCUUUCCUUGUGAUACAUGGAGCUGCACGUGGAAGAUGUUAGGAAAACAGCUGGGUGCAGUUUUGCUGGUUAGUUCUGAACAAACCUAAAGAUGUGAGAUUUGAACUCUAUAAGGGAAGAAAGUGAGGAGGAAGAAGGCACUGAGGCUGCCUGUCACCAGGAGGGUUCUGGGCAAAACAGGGUAGAGUGACUUGGGACAGUUCCUCUUAACGAUAGCACAGGCAGUAGGGGUUGAGACACAGUGGGGUUGAGACUUGCUUAAAUGUACAGUUAUUCAGUCAACCAUUUUCAUAGAAUAAUUGUGGGUUGUGUGGGUUGUCUUGAGCUGCCGAGUUCACAUGUUCUGCAGUGGAGCACUAUAUGCUAAUGUGAGAUGUGAGUACACCCAGAUUUCACCUGCCCUAGAACGUGGUUUUGUUUUUUUUUAAAGUAAAACAAUGUUGUGGCCAGGUGUGGCCUGAUAGCUUUAAAAACAAAUGGCCUCUGCUGAGGGACACUUGGGUUGUUUCCCUGUCUUUGCUACAGUGAGCAGUGCUGCAGUGGACAUGGGAGGGCAGGCAGCUCUUCUACCCACUGACCUCCUUUCCUAUGGGUUUGUCCCCAGAAGUGGGACCUGCUGGAUCAUAUCAAAGCUCUGUUUGUCUUUUCCUGAGGAAGCUUCAGGCUGUUUUCAUCCGGGCUCUACUAAUUCACAUUCCCACCCACAGUGAAUAAGGGUUCACUCUUCUCCAUAUCCUCACCAACACAGGUUACCUUUUGACUUUUUCAUAAUUGCCAUCCUAACAGGUGUGAGGUGAUAAUUGUUUGCGGUUUUAAUUUGCAUUUCCCUGAUGAUUAGUUGAGGACUUUUUCAUAUACCUGUUGCCCAUUUGUAUGUCUUCUUUGGAACAAUGUCUAUUCAGGUCCUUUGCCCAUUUUUAAUCAGGUUAUUAUUCUUAUUAUUUUACUACUGAGCUGUAUGAGUUUCUUAUUUAUUUAAAAUAUUAACCCCCUUUCAGAUAUAUGGUUUGAAAAUGAUGUCUUUUAUUCCAUAGGUUGGCAGAUGAAUGGACUAAGAAUACGUGAUACACACACACACACACACACAGACACAUGUACUAAAAUAUCUUUCAGCCUUAACAAGAAGAAAAUCUUGCCAUUUGCAAUGAGAUAGAUAAACCUAGAAGACAUUAUGUUAAAUGAAAUAAAGCAAGCACAGAAAAUCACAUACUACACACUUAUAUGUAGAAUCUAGAAAAGUUGGAAUCAUUGAAAUAGAGUAGAAUGAAAGCCACCAACAGCUGGGGGUAGGAGAAACAGGAAGAUGAUGGUCAAAGGUCAGAGGACACAAACUUGCAGGUGUAAGAUGAGUCAGUUCUGGAGACCUAGUGUACAGCGUGGGGACUCUAGUUAAUAAUGUGUUUGACACUUGGAACUUGGAAAGAGUUGAUCUCAAGUAUUCUCACCACACACACACACACACACAAACACACAGGUACUUGUGAGGUGAAGGAUAUGUUAAUUUUCUUGAUUGUGGUAAUCAUUUCACGAUGUGUGUCUAUAUAAAACAUCAUGCUGCACACUUUACAUACAUAGAGUUGUAUAUGUCAAUUUUAUCUCAAUGAAAUGGCAGGUCCUUCCCUUGACCUGCCACCUGACCUGCUACAGUUCAGAGGUUUGAGGCAGGGUAGCAUCACCACCAGUGGAGAUGGAGGCAGUGUUUAAAUAACACACAAUUAUGUUGGGAAGUCAAAGGGGGCACCAGGCUCUCUAAGGAAAAGCUUGGCCUCUUCAGGACAUUCUAGGAGGAUAGCACAUAAUCCACACCCCACACCAUGCCUUUCCCUGGGUGAUGUCAUUCCUGAAUCCACAUCCCACACCAUGACUUUCCCUGGGUGAUGUCAUUCCCGCUGUGGCAUCUGGAUCAUCCACCUGCCAACAGUGCCCAGAGCCUCACCUCCAGACCAGACCCACCCUCUUCAAAUGGCCCACCCUGCAGACCCUCUCGAAGAGCUCACAGGCACCCCCAGAGAAGGUGUCCCAAAUGCCGCCUUCUCUCACCAGCCUGUUCUCACUGAAGUCUUGGUUAUCUUAGUAAAUGGCACCACUACCCAACCAGUUGCUUGAGUCCAUAAAUGUAGGACUUACCAUUCACACCACCCUUUGUCUUAUCACUCAGUUUAAACACAUCUCUCAGCCUUGACCAUUUCACUUUCAAAGUAUACCUUGAAUCUCUGGGUACCUCUUUGUGUUUACAGCCAUCAUCUGACUCUAAGCCACAGACACCUCUCAUCUAGAUAUGACCACAGCCAGUGUCAGCCUGCCAGAUACACACCCUGCUCACAUUCCUGCUUCCCUCCAGUCUAUUCCACUUGCACAUACACGUAUACACUCACACACACUCAUUCACAUGCACACUGCCACACACACAUACACAGCACUGCAUACACUCAUACUCACUUCCAUACCCAUGACCACACACUCACACACGCACACAAUCACAUGCAUGACCACCACACACACUCACACACUCAUGCACAUACAGUCACAUACAAACACGUGAUCUUUAAGAACGUAUGUUAAAUAACAUUGUUUCUACUUAUGAUUCAUCAGUAGCAUCCUGUGGCAUUUUGUAUUUAAUUCAAACUUCUUCACCUGUUCCAGAAGCUCCUGGGAGCCAUGGCCCCUGCCGGCCCCCCAGGUUCCCCUGAUACCACACCCUGCACUGCCCAGUCCCUCCACACUGACCCCCUUUAGCUGCUCAAAGUCUUCCUCUGCCCCGUAGUUUCCACACAGGCCCUCCCCUGCUGGGGUGCUCUCCCUGCCAGUCCUGGCCUGGCUAUUCCUCCCAUAGACCCCCCUGAUGGAAGGAGGCUCCUUGGACCCAGGCACUGCUCCUGUGCUGGUCUCCAUGGGGCCUCGGUAGUGGACAUUGUGUCCAUUGUUCACUGAGUGAGUGAGCGUUCACUUGCUUACAGUGUGUGUCCUACACACUAUGCUCCAUGAGGGAAGGGACUGAUUUGCUCAUCACUGAAAUGCUGGAGUUUCUGGUAUUCAACACAUGCUCAGUAAGACCUGACUGAACAACUCAAUACCAUCUCCACUAUAGAGACACCCACAGAGUGCGGCAGAGGCAGCCAUGGGCCAAUGUUUAGGUGACUGAGUUUCUGAUGCCAUCACAGGCCCUAAUUCCCCAUGUGAAUUUGGGCAAAUUGCUGUACCUCUCUGAGCGCAACUUCCUCACCUGUAUGUAAGAGGGUUUACAUCAGGCAUCUUUAUGGCCCUGAAUUAUGAAAAAGUAAGAAGACUUCGCUUCCUGGGGUCUUUGGGGCUGGCCUGUUAUGUUUGCAGGGAGCCUGGCAGUGUUCCUGUGCUGUCCUCCCUUUUUUGGCUUGAAGUGUUGACAGCAUGUGUGCUUACUUGCUGGAGAUCCCAUGGUGUGUAAAGCUGUGGUUGUUGGAUUUGGUAACAGUCUCUGCUGGAGCUUGCACAGCAAGCUACGGGGCAGAGGAAGACUUUGAACUCCAGAGCAGUGGAACUGGCAACUCCCUAGGAUCCUGAUCCUCAUCAGUUUGGACGUUUCUUGUAGCCAUGUGACCCAUCUGUGUCUCUACUUGCCUUUAUGGGACCGAAGACCACCUGACCGUGGCUCCAUGUGAAUGUGAAAUCAGGUCUGGAGUGGGAGAGCAGUGGGUGCCGCCCCGCCGGCUGCGACACUGGGCUGGAGUCUCUGGUGGGUGGUGGACCCAUUGAGCUGGCAGCGUGCACCUGAUCUCAUCCCGAGGGAAUCCACGUGGUGUUUUCCUUGUUUUCUGGUGAAAAUAAUUGGGUGCAAUGAGAGAGCUGAGCCACCUGUGUGCCAGGUGCCAGAGAUCAGUGGCCUCACCAUAAACUUGGCCAGGGCAGAAGAUGGCUGAAGGUCAAAGUAGCUGCAAGAGGUGUUGUUAUCAGGCAUGAAGAUAAAUCGCUUGAUAUCAGCUUAAAAAUGACAAGAAUAAAGCUUCUCCUUUACGCUGCCUGAGACCCUGUUUGCUGACAGUGAUGGGUGUGAGCUAAAGCUCACUUGCUCUUGCCCCUUCAGAUACAAUCAGCUACUGUUCUGCAGAGAUGGGCAUCUGCCAACCUGCACAGUCCGGUGUUUUGAUAGAGCAACUCUCUCGAUAUUCUUCUCUAACCCCCUCUUACCCUUCGGGCAUUUCAAACACUGUCCUGGACUCUUCUCCCUCACCUGCAGCACAGAGGCACAGAGUGAAGAAGAAACACAGCACCAGGACCCUCUUUCCUAUCUGUUUAGAGAGAAGAUGGUGGAGAAGGUUUGGGCGGGAAAGUAAAUAGAGACCAAGGGUAGGAGGAGAGAGGGGCAGGAUGGGAGGGAGACAGGGCAUGAGGGAGAAAGAGAAGUCAUUGAUGGGCAGAGGGUGAAGGGAGAAGAGGAGAGAGAAAAUGAGGGGUAGAGAGAAGCUUGCCAUGGAGGGCACAGAAUGCAUUUCCCCCUCAGAACACUGGCUUGAAGCAGAGAAAAUGAAUUUUAGUGAUAUUCAAGGUUGAAACACUCACCAGCAAUAGACACACUUAGAAAUAGCUUAAUAAAUGCAUUAACAAUCUACAAAGACACAGAAAGUUCCAAGAAUUCUAAAUCCUCUCUUCCCUCUAGGUCUCAGCAGACCAAAGCAAGUUAUUUUCUGAUGAAAGGAUUUCAUCAAACCUUGAUGCUCACUUGGAUUUUUAAGUGGAACAAGGUCACUGUGUCUCUGUGCAGUUGCAUCAUGCAAUCCUAAUGAGAGAGGCUUCUCAGUCACUCCAAAUGUGACCAUGUGUGCAGAUCCUCAUGUUCUCAGACACCAGCCCCUUCUCCCAGACUGGCUUGCUCCAAACUGCAAUCCUCUGAGGCCCAUCAUCAGUGCCCUGGUCUGAGGCACAUGGAGUGUGUCACCCAGAAUUAUUGGAAUGGAAAUGCACUGAUCCUCAAAAGAGGCAAUCACCAUUACACCAAGGGAGCUUCUAUGGCUUUCUAUUUGAUUGCAGUUCUAUUCCAGGAGGCUGCCACUCUGUUAUGCCCAGGUUAGGUUCAUGAAGUGGAUUCCUGAAAUGCUGCGAUUCACAGAGGGUUUCCUCUCAUGUGUGACUGAAUUUAUCAAAAUGUUUAAUAAAGCUACGUGAUCUCCCACAGGACUUGGCUGCACAGCAUCGCAGGUCCACCAGAGCUGCCUCCCUCCCUGAGUCAACGCGUCCCUGAAGAUACACAGCUUAUGUCAGCAGCACAGACCUGCAUCCCCCAUGGUGACUCAGUUUACAUUCCGUACCCUUGCCCCUGCAUGGGGGUCUUCUUGGAAACUCUGAGACAAGUUGGCUAGGUUAGGUGUCCCCUGAUCUCAAUCUUGCCCAGCCCUAUGUGAACUUAGGUCUCUGGAGACUAAGAAGCCCCAUGGGCAGAGGAGGAGGAGCAGCAAAGGCCCCAAGCAUGAAGUGAUUUGGGGGGAGGAGAGAGGAGUUUCCAGGGAGGGUGAGCACCCCAUCCCCACUGCAGCACUGUCCCUCUGCCAAUGCACAUGAUACAGCUGGAGUCCUUCCUCCCGCCUGGCUGUGCAGAGUGGCCCUGGGACCUCUAGGUGAGCAGAGAGCGGGAGGUGCAGCAGAUGGAGUCAGGCUCCUUAUACUCUCUCCUCACUGCUGUGGAGGAUAUAAGCAGGGGCCACGUGGCUUCAGAGCCUCCUGUUCCUCCCCUUCCCCGAAUUCCUAUCAACAGCUAACCAAAUCCCUGCAAACACCCACUCUCCAAGCACCUGCUAAGAACCAGGGGUCUUUGGCAGAGGACUCCCCUUGCAGUGGGUGCUCAGAGCCCACUGAUCUUGCCCCUCCACUGGCCCGGCUGUGGGAGCUGGCAGCUGGCAGUGGAACCAGAACUUAGGAAGGUAGGAUGUCAGCUUGGAGCCAUGCUGGCUGUCACCAGAGGCCGCCCCUCCAUCAGCUAAGCCUUCCCGGGUGUUGUGUCAUGAGCACACACAGUCUGGAGUCUCUGACACAGCUUUGUUUUCCCUGCUCUAUCCAUGGGCCCACCUCUCACUUUCCCGAAAGAGAGGGCAGGGCAAGCCGUCUCACAGACGGCAGAGCAGAUGCCUGACCAUACUCUUGAGCAGCUUCAGAGAAGUAUUUAUGCCCUGAAGUGGUUUCUUCAGGUGACCAGACCAAAGUGAGUUGCUGGACACCACCUACCCCAAGGCCCCUGUCUGCAGGAAGCUCAGGUCCAUGCCCCUCAGAGCCAGCCAGCUCCCCCUUCCACCUAACCCUGACCAGCAGGAAACCUGUGGAAGUCAGGGGUCAGCCAUGCCCCCUUUCCUCAACCCUCCUGCCUCUCAGCCUUCCCAGGCUGCAGAAUUUCACCCUUCAGAGGCUUCCAGAGUCUGCCCACUCCCGUGAGGAACCAUCGUCCUCCAUAAAUGAAACAAAGCCCUUUCCCUGGGGAAGCAUGGGGGGCUUACUGAACCUGCUUCUGUGAGGCUGGGCUUGACUGGUGGGCAAAGCUGAGUGUGGCUGGGCCCAGCUGCUCCAGCAGGGCCCUCCCUGCUGCUCCUCCACCCGGAAGGUGGCCUGUGGCCAGAACGUGGCCUUAGAGCUCAGCCCUGACCAGCUUGUGAACUCAGCCCCGGUCCACCCAGGAGGAAGCACAGGUCUCUUGUCUCACUGAGUCUCAUCUCAUCAGUCACAGACCUUCCUCCCCAUCUCCACCCGCAGAGGCAGCCGAGGGCUGGGAUGGGGCAAGGAGGCCUCGUAUAACUGUGGGAACUGUGGCUGGAGGGUGUCAGAGACAGAACGUGGAAUUCCAGUCUCGUGUGGAAGUGAGGUGAGAGAUGCAGAUUGCUGUUUUAAAAUCUACAUAAAAUUACCAACUUGAAUAUUUCCUUAUGACUCCUGGAAUUCUACUUCUUCGGCCCCUAAGCGUGGACAUCUGAUGCAGUUCUGGAAUGUAAAUAGGAUUUUAUAAAGGCUUCAGGAAAUGUUCUGCUUUCCCUAUUAUAAGAAACGAUUGACAUUUCUUCUCCUAUAUGCUUUUCUUUCUGCUUUAAAAGCAGAUAAAAUGUUUCAGCUACAGCUUCAAGCCAGUGAACAAAGCUGUGGAAAUCUGGUUUCAAUACGUGGAAGUUUACCUCUGCGAUGACUGCCUGGCGGUGGCUGUUACGUGAUUCCAGGGACAUAAGGCAUGUGAGAGUGAGGUCAGGGCUCUGCUGCACUGGGAAGUGUGGAAUCCAGCAGGUCAUGAUGUUGUUGGCACAACUUCAUCUAGAUCACUUUCAGGAUAUCAUGCGAUAUUCAGUGUGGUAGGAAGAGAUCAGUACAAUGCCUCCAAUUGUACAGCAUAACCUAGGUAUGCAGAGGGCAAAAGACAGAAACCUGUGAUCAAGUCAGCACUAGAGCCUAGAAUCUAUUAACUCCCUAUGUACUGUGGUUUUCCUGGAGAAAGAAAUUAGUAAAUGAUAAAAUUGCGGCAGCCAGAUAUAAAAUGCAAAGUUGUCUAUGAGUGAAUAGACAUUUAAGAAACAGUAUGCAUAGCUUCACAGAUAAUCCAGUGAUGUAGAUUGAAAGUUUGUUUCCUUCCAAGAUUCCAAUGUGAAAAUUCCAACCUGGGAAGGAAUGAACAAACGCUGCUGAACCCAGUAGGCCCAGCAAGUGGGCAGUGUGUCCCAGUGGGCCUGGAAGGCAGAUCAUUGAGCCAAAGGAAAUCGGGUUCAACGCUCUUCAUUCCAGGGAGUUUGCCUUGUGGUUUGGACUUGCCUGAGAUCCAUUACUCCUUUCUUGUUUCCUAUUUCUCUCUCUGGGAGAAAUGUCUGUCCUAUGCUUGCAGCACUACUCUACUCUGGAGGCACAUAACAUUUAGUUUCACAGAUUCCUGCCUAGAGAGAAAUUUGUUUCAAGAUGACUUUUACCUUGAGUCUUAGCCAUAUCUAAUUUAGAGGAUAUUUAUAUAAGACUUCCGAUUUGAGAUUUAGAGUUGACACUGAAGGGGUUGAGACUUUUGGGGCUAUUGGGAUGUAAUUAGUGCAUUUUGCAUGUUAGAAGCAUUCUAGGCCAGGAGCUGAAUGCUGCAGAAUGAUGGUUUAUGUCUCUUCAAGAUGUAUAUGUUGAACUCCUAACACCUAAGGUGAUGGUAUUAGGAGGUGGGGCCUUUGAGAGGUGAUUAGAUCAUAAAGGUGAGGCCUUCAUGAAUGGGAUCAGUGCCCUCCUAGAAGAGACUCCAGAGAGCUCUUUCACCCUCCAUGUGGGGACACAGUGACAAGACGGCUGCUUAUAAACCAGGAAGUAAGCUGUCACGAGACACUGAAUUCUCAGCACCUGGAUUUUGGACUUCCAGUCUUCAUAACUGUGAGAAAUGCAUUUCUGUUGUUUGUAAGCCACUCAGUCUAUGGUAUUCUAGUAUGGAAGCCUGAAUGGACUAACACAUUCAAUAACUCAAAGUGAUGUUUUAAGAACAGCAGAUCUUGCCAACAGAAGGCACAGGCUUCCUCCCUCCUUACCUUCCUCUCACCCACAUGGCCUCCCAACCCAUCCCUUCACCACUUUUGUCACACCAACCCUUUACCUCUCCCCCAGCAUCAAGCCAACACUACCAAUUGCUGCUGACCUUCUGCUAAUGCUAAAUUUAAAAUCAACUUUUUAUUUAGAAAGUUUAAAACUUAAAUUAUAGACUUGGACCUAGGUGGAAGAGAGAAAGAAAAAAAGAUUUCUAGACCCUGAGACAAACUCAUACAUCUGUCCAUAAAUCUGCUCAUUUCAUUUUAUAGAAACAAAGAAAUAUGCUUAGUGGGUAGAUUUAAAUACUCAGACAAUUAAAGUAUACGAUACUUUGCAUGGCAACAAUUAGUGGUGAGAAGAGUAGGGAGAGGUCCUGAUUCUGCAUUCCCCAAGAGCCUGAUCUGAUCACAAUCUUUUGUUGAAAUUACUCAAUUGUUAUUUUUAAGUAUUUAAUUUUUCCCCGCCUUUUGUAAAAAUAAAACAGACAGAUAGACAUACACUGUGAAGCUAAAGGCUAAGAUUCAGCUGAUUUUCCAAUGCUAAUCAUGAGAGUGGAGGUUGUUUAUGGAAGCUGAACAAUAUGACUUUCAUCACCAGGCAGUGGCCCCUGGGCAAAGACUCCAGGGUCUCUGGAUAAGAAGAAACUGAUAGGGAAAAAUGGAGAGCACUUAGUUCACCAUGGCAGAAAUGCUGCAAUAAACAAACCUAAUGAAGAAGAAACAUAAAUCCAGAUCAAACCAAGAAUGGUUAUUUUAGCUUCCUUCUCCUCCUUCUCCUUCUCCUCCUGCUUCUCCUCCUCCUCCGGAUUUUUUUUGUCCCUUUAUCAAUGCAUCAUUUUUCAACUCUGUCACUUCCACAUAACACAGCCACCAUUUGCUGUUCUCAACUUUUCCUUUUUGUAUUUGUUUGACACUAACUUUUCCCACAGUCUGUAGAUUUUUUUUGUCCUUUUCUAAUAGUUCGUGUUUUAGAAAUUCAGAACAAACAAUUUCUGAAUGCUCCUCAGAACGCCAACUCAGGCAGAGAAUCUCACCGAAAUAGAGAAGAAGCUCAUGCUCCUGGAAGAAACAGCCCGAGGAGAGCCGCUGGGCCACAUCUGGCCACUGUCCGCAGCGCUGUCAGAUUGCUGGGGCCACAUCUGGCCACUGUCCACAGUGCUGUCAGAUCCAAGGAGAGCCGCUGGGCCACAUCUGGCCACUGUCCACAGCGCUGUCAGAUGCCGACCAAACCCUGCUUUGGUGUUGAGGUGGUUCGUCUGGUAGCCUCCUUUCUUAAGGGUAUUUAAUCUGCUGCAAAUUGUUUUCAUGUAUGCAAUAGAUGUUACUGUAACUGUUUUAUAAGGUGCAUUGUCUUCACCUUGGCAGGCUCUGUGCCAGUCUGUGUCUAGUCUGAUGCCAUUCCUGCACACAUACAUCCAUGCCCCAGCAUUUGGAGGGCUGGAGUUAGGAAUAAUCCUGUUGGUGACUUAUUAUUAACUAUUGUAUGGGACUUAUUAUGUAUCUUCAUGUUCUACUGUUCCCACCUCCCAAACCCCAAAAAAGGAUGAGAUCUGUCUUAUAACAAAAACAUUUACGAUAAGGCCAAUACUAUAAAAUAAGUAAUAAAGUUAAUACCAACAAAAAGAGAAGUAUUAAUUACUGCUGCAGUUAGGGUUGACAUUAUUCCUAUGAUUGAGCUUUGAAGACAUUUCUAAGCAGUAAUAAACAUGAACCAAACGUCGCACAGUUCCAUUCAUGGUCCUGAUCUGAGAGAACGCAUUCCUAGAUGGACACCCACUCCCUCUCCCAACUGCCCAACUCAUCAGUAAAUGGAGUUUGAUUUAAGCCAAACCUAAUGCAGUACUUCCCUGUACUUGAGGUUUUCCUUCUGUGAUUUCAAUUACCUCUGGUCAACGAGAUUCAAAAAUAUUAAAUAGAAAAUUCUAGAGAUAAACAAUUUACAAGUUCUAAACUGCAUGCCUUUCUGGUAGCAUGAUAAAAUCUCAUGCUGUCCUGCUCUGUCCCACGUGGAACAUGAAUCAUUCCUUGUCCAGCAUAUUUACUCUUCAUAGCAGCAGUCUAGGUUAUCAGAUUGACAGCGCCCAAGAAGAAAGUGUUCCCUUUUCCUUUGCCAGUCCUCCAAUAGCUGUUCAAUGAAUCUACAUAUUAAGUUUAAGGCUGACUCCAUCUCCCGAAUCACAGUGGUCAUUCUGCCUCUUGGACUGACUCCAUUCUUCAUUUAUUGAGUCCCUGUGGAUAUAGAGCCUCAGCUCUUGUCAUCCCCUAAGGAAAGUGUUGGUCUGAGAAGUGAAACCAAGCUGGCACAGCACUGUAGGCCUGGGAGGGAAAGUGACACAUGCCUGCAUCCCAAGGAGUGGGGAUGGUGAAAUCAUGAGGGACUCAAUGAGGCUAUCAUUUGGGGUGCCACUGGAACAUUGAUUAGUGAUGAAAGAGGAGAGACCAUUG
rnacentral:lncRNA from 10 species